rnacentral:rRNA from 1 species
AACGAACGCUGGCGGCAGGCCUAACACAUGCAAGUCGAACGUGAAGCCACCUUCGGGUGGUGGAAAGUGGCAGACGGGUGAGUAACGCGUGGGAACGUGCCUUUCGGUUCGGGAUAACCCAGGGAAACUUGGGCUAAUACCGGAUACGCCCUCCGGGGGAAAGAUUCAUUGCCGCAAGAUCGGCCCGCGUCGGAUUAGCUAGUUGGUGGGGUAAAAGCCUACCAAGGCGACGAUCCGUAGCUGGUCUGAGAGGGUGACCAGCCACACUGGGACUGAGACACGGCCCAGACUCCUACGGGAGGCAGCAGUGGGGAAUAUUGGACAAUGGGCGCAAGCCUGAUCCAGCCAUGCCGCGUGGGUGAAGAAGGCCCUAGGGUUGUAAACCCCUCUCAGCGGGGAAGAUAAUGACGGUACCCGCAGAAGAAGCCCCGGCUAAUUCUGUGCCAGCCGCCGCCGUAAUAC